AGAGUUUGAUCCUGGCUCAGAACGUACGCUGGCGGCACGCCUAAUACAUGCAAGUCGAACGAAGUAGCAAUACUUAGUGGCAGACGGGUGAGUAACAUGUGGGUAUCUUCCCUUUGGUGAGGAAUAACACGAGGAAACUUGUGCUAAUACCUCAUAAGUCUUUACGGAGAAAGCUUUAUGCGCCAUUGGAUGAGCCCGCACUUGAUUAGUUUGUUGGUGGGGUAAUGGCCUACCAAGACUGUGAUCAAUAGCUGAUUUGAGAGGAUGAUCAGCCACAUUGGGACUGAGACACGGCCCAAACUCCUACGGGAGGCAGCAGUAGGGAAUCUUGCACAAUGGAGGAAACUCUGAUGCAGCGAUGCCGCGUGAGUGAAGAAGGCCUUUGGGUUGUAAAGCUCUUUCGUCGGGGAAGAAAAUGACUGUACCCGAAUAAGAAGGUCCGGCUAACUUCGUGCCAGCAGCCGCGGUAAUACGAAGGGACCUAGCGUAGUUCGGAAUUACUGGGCUUAAAGAGUUCGUAGGUGGUUAAAAUAGUUGGUGGUGAAAUCCCAGAGCUUAACUCUGGAACUGCCAUCAAAACUUUUUAGCUAGAGUAUGAUAGAGGAAAGCAGAAUUUCUAGUGUAGAGGUGAAAUUCGUAGAUAUUAGAAAGAAUACCAAUUGCGAAGGCAGCUUUCUGGAUCAUUACUGACACUGAGGAACGAAAGCAUGGGUAGCGAAGAGGAUUAGAUACCCUCGUAGUCCAUGCCGUAAACGAUGUGUGUUAGACGUUGGAAAUUUAUUUUCAGUGUCGCAGCGAAAGCGAUAAACACACCGCCUGGGGAGUACGACCGCAAGGUUAAAACUCAAAUGAAUUGACGGGGACCCGCACAAGUAGUGGAGCAUGUGGUUUAAUUCGAAGAUACGCGCAGAACCUUACCAACACUUGACAUGUUCGUCGCGACUCUAAGAGAUUAGAGUUUUCGGUUCGGCCGGACGAAACACAGGUGCUGCAUGGCUGUCGUCAGCUCGUGUCGUGAGAUGUUGGGUUAAGUCCCGCAACGAGCGCAACCCUCACUUUUAGUUGCCAUCAUUAAGUUGGGCACUCUGAAAGAACUGCCAGUGAUAAGCUGGAGGAAGGUGGGGAUGACGUCAAGUCCUCAUGGCCCUUACGUGUUGGGCUACACACGUGCUACAAUGGCAUUUACAAUAGGAAGCAAGGCGGCGACGUCAAGCAAAUCCUAAAAAAAUGCCUCAGUUCGGAUUGCACUCUGCAACUCGAGUGCAUGAAGCUGGAAUUACUAGUAAUCGUGGAUCAGCGUGCCACGGUGAAUGCGUUCCCGGGUCUUGUACACACCGCCCGUCACACCAUGGGAGUUGGUUCUACCUUAAGGCAAAGCUUAAAACCUUUGACCACGGUAUAGUCAGCGACUGGGGUGAAGUCGUAACAAGGUAACC
rnacentral:rRNA from 1 species